UGUUUUUAUUUCUGUUGCCCACUUGGCAAAUUAUUGACAGUGAAAGAAAAAUUCCUAACAACUGAUAGAGUUUGUGUCUUUAUAUACAUUAGGAACACAAACACUACUCACAAAAAAAAUCAACGGUUCUUCCUCCUUUUGCUCUACAACAUUUCCGAGUAAAGUUUCUUCAGGGGUUUAAUUGCACUUUGAAAGAAUUGGUGCAGAAGAGCUUCUGAUUUAGCGUUCACAGAUUUUAGUUGUAAUCGCUGGAUAUUGAAAUAGACAUGGACCAUUCAUUAGUAGACUGGGAGUGCAUUUUCCAUUAGGGUGUAAUUUCAUAUAAAGAAGAGUGCCAAUUGAAUUCCUCCAACAUUUGGUCAACUAUUUGAAGAUUGUCUUCACCAAAUUACGGCAGCUUAUUGAAUUUUGUGGAACAGAGAACAGAAAUGCCGGUAAAAAAAACUUCAUGCUUCUUCUACCUUCUUCUCUGCAACUCUUCGUGCUAAAGGGGUUAAUUGCAGUAUGAAACAAUUGGUGCAGAGAAACCUCUGAUUUAACAUCGACACAUUUACAGUAAGCAGUUGCUUCAAUUUCAGUCACCACCUCCUAAAGCUAUUUCUCCCAAGAGGCCAUCCUUUGCAGCUGAAAACAAGCAGGUGAAUAAAGAUAGUAGCAAGAAAGACACUUUUGAUGAGGAAAGUGAAGAUGGGGAGCCUCAGAAAAAGAAGAGUAAAGUUGUGCCCACUGGUGUUCUGAAAUCCAGUGCUAAAGGCGGGAAAA